rnacentral:rRNA from 1 species
GGGUUGUGAGGUUAAGCGACUAAGCGUACACGGUGGAUGCCCUGGCAGUCAGAGGCGAUGAAGGACGUGCUAAUCUGCGAAAAGCGUCGGUAAGGUGAUAUGAACCGUUAUAACCGGCGAUGUCCGAAUGGGGAAACCCAGUGCAAUUCGUUGCACUAUCGUUAACUGAAUACAUAGGUUAACGAGGCGAACCGGGGGAACUGAAACAUCUAAGUACCCCGAGGAAAAGAAAUCAACCGAGAUUCCCCCAGUAGCGGCGAGCGAACGGGGAGCAGCCCAGAGUCUGAAUCAGCUUGUGUGUUAGUGGAACGGUCUGGAAAGUCCGACGGUACAGGGUGAUAGUCCCGUACACCAAAAUGCACAGGUUGUGAACUCGAAGAGUAGGGCGGGACACGUGGUAUCCUGUCUGAAUAUGGGGGGACCAUCCUCCAAGGCUAAAUACUCCUGACUGACCGAUAGUGAACCAGUACCGUGAGGGAAAGGCGAAAAGAACCCCGGCGAGGGGAGUGAAAAAGAACCUGAAACCGUGUACGUACAAGCAGUGGGAGCACCUUCGGGUGUGACUGCGUACCUUUUGUAUAAUGGGUCAGCGACUUAUAUUCUGUAGCAAGGUUAACCGUAUAGGGGAGCCGCAGGGAAACCGAGUCUUAACUGGGCGUUAAGUUGCAGGGUAUAGACCCGAAACCCGGUGAUCUAGCCAUGGGCAGGUUGAAGGUUGGGUAACACUAACUGGAGGACCGAACCGACUAAUGUUGAAAAAUUAGCGGAUGACUUGUGGCUGGGGGUGAAAGGCCAAUCAAACCGGGAGAUAGCUGGUUCUCCCCGAAAGCUAUUUAGGUAGCGCCUCGUGAAUUCAUCUUCGGGGGUAGAGCACUGUUUCGGCUAGGGGGUCAUCCCGACUUACCAACCCGAUGCAAACUACGAAUACCGAAGAAUGUUAUCACGGGAGACACACGGCGGGUGCUAACGUCCGUCGUGAAGAGGGAAACAACCCAGACCGCCAGCUAAGGUCCCAAAGUCAUGGUUAAGUGGGAAACGAUGUGGGAAGGCACAGACAGCCAGGAUGUUGGCUUAGAAGCAGCCAUCAUUUAAAGAAAGCGUAAUAGCUCACUGGUCGAGUCGGCCUGCGCGGAAGAUGUAACGGGGCUAAACCAUGCACCGAAGCUGCGGCAGCGACACUAUGUGUUGUUGGGUAGGGGAGCGUUCUGUAAGCCUGCGAAGGUGACCUGUGAGGGUUGCUGGAGGUAUCAGAAGUGCGAAUGCUGACAUAAGUAACGAUAAAGCGGGUGAAAAGCCCGCUCGCCGGAAGACCAAGGGUUCCUGUCCAACGUUAAUCGGGGCAGGGUGAGUCGACCCCUAAGGCGAGGCCGAAAGGCGUAGUCGAUGGGAAACAGGUUAAUAUUCCUGUACUUGGUGUUACUGCGAAGGGGGGACGGAGAAGGCUAUGUUAGCCGGGCGACGGUUGUCCCGGUUUAAGCAUGUAGGCUGGUUAUCCAGGCAAAUCCGGAUAAUCAAGGCUGAGGUGUGAUGACGAGGCACUACGGUGCUGAAGUAACAAAUGCCCUGCUUCCAGGAAAAGCCUCUAAGCAUCAGGUAACAUCAAAUCGUACCCCAAACCGACACAGGUGGUCAGGUAGAGAAUACCAAGGCGCUUGAGAGAACUCGGGUGAAGGAACUAGGCAAAAUGGUGCCGUAACUUCGGGAGAAGGCACGCUGGUGUGUAGGUGAAGCCCCUGCGGGUGGAGCUGAGACCAGUCGAAGAUACCAGCUGGCUGCAACUGUUUAUUAAAAACACAGCACUGUGCAAACACGAAAGUGGACGUAUACGGUGUGACGCCUGCCCGGUGCCGGAAGGUUAAUUGAUGGGGUUAUCCGUAAGGAGAAGCUCUUGAUCGAAGCCCCGGUAAACGGCGGCCGUAACUAUAACGGUCCUAAGGUAGCGAAAUUCCUUGUCGGGUAAGUUCCGACCUGCACGAAUGGCGUAAUGAUGGCCAGGCUGUCUCCACCCGAGACUCAGUGAAAUUGAACUCGCUGUGAAGAUGCAGUGUACCCGCGGCAAGACGGAAAGACCCCGUGAACCUUUACUAUAGCUUGACACUGAACAUUGAGCCUUGAUGUGUAGGAUAGGUGGGAGGCUUUGAAGCGUGGACGCCAGUCUGCGUGGAGCCAACCUUGAAAUACCACCCUUUAAUGUUUGAUGUUCUAACGUUGGCCCCUUAUCGGGGUUGCGGACAGUGUCUGGUGGGUAGUUUGACUGGGGCGGUCUCCUCCCAAAGCGUAACGGAGGAGCACGAAGGUUAGCUAAUCCUGGUCGGACAUCAGGAGGUUAGUGCAAUGGCAUAAGCUAGCUUGACUGCGAGCGUGACGGCGCGAGCAGGUGCGAAAGCAGGUCAUAGUGAUCCGGUGGUUCUGAAUGGAAGGGCCAUCGCUCAACGGAUAAAAGGUACUCCGGGGAUAACAGGCUGAUACCGCCCAAGAGUUCAUAUCGACGGCGGUGUUUGGCACCUCGAUGUCGGCUCAUCACAUCCUGGGGCUGAAGUAGGUCCCAAGGGUAUGGCUGUUCGCCAUUUAAAGUGGUACGCGAGCUGGGUUUAGAACGUCGUGAGACAGUUCGGUCCCUAUCUGCCGUGGGCGCUGGAGAAUUGAGGGGGGCUGCUCCUAGUACGAGAGGACCGGAGUGGACGCAUCACUGGUGUUCGGGUUGUCAUGCCAAUGGCACUGCCCGGUAGCUAAAUGCGGAAGAGAUAAGUGCUGAAAGCAUCUAAGCACGAAACUUGCCCCGAGAUGAGUUCUCCCUGAGACUUUAAGUCUCCUGAAGGAACGUUGAAGACGACGACGUUGAUAGGCCGGGUGUGUAAGCGCAGCGAUGCGUUGAGCUAACCGGUACUAAUGAACCGUGAGGCUUAACCUUACAACGCCGAAG